CACAAUACAAAGAUUUUAUAACUCCAACUCCCAAGUUUUAACAUGCUGUAACUUUCUUAAUAAUGCUUGAAAAUUUAUAAAAGUGGUAGUUUUGGAUAGCUAACAGAUUACUCUUUCAAAUUAAUACAAUGUUAGUAUUAUGCAAAUUAUGUAACCAAUUAUAAUGUUAACCGAGUCUAAAAUAUUUUUCACCAAAUUUCCACUUUCAAAUGAAAUUAGCUUCUGCAUGUGUAUCUCUAGAGGGUUGAUUUUAUUAUAUGUUGUUCCUAUGGCCAUUAUCUACAAAAGGGUGUCUCAGAUUUCAGAUAGAAUGUA
rnacentral:lncRNA from 1 species